UACGAAGGGGGCUAGCGUUGUUCGGAAUUACUGGGCGUAAAGCGUGCGCAGGCGGCUUCUCAAGUCAGGGGUGAAAGCCCAGAGCUCAACUCUGGAAUUGCCUUUGAGACUGAGUGGCUUGAGUAUGGGAGAGGUGAGUGGAAUUCCCAGUGUAGAGGUGAAAUUCGUAGAUAUUGGGAAGAACACCGGUGGCGAAGGCGGCUCACUGGCCCGUAACUGACGCUCAUGCACGACAGCGUGGGGAUCAAACAGG
rnacentral:rRNA from 1 species